UGAAACAAGCAUUUGUACAGGUUUUUUAAUGACUCCAAUUGGCAUUCGUGGCAGUUUUAAUCUGUGUGUCAUUCAUUAAAAAAACUACACUGCGUUCAUUGCUUCUACAAUUUUGUUGCAUUCUCAUUUGGCAAGGUGAAAGAUUUAAGGAAGCAGACCAUUUUGUUUGCGAAAAGUUUCCUAAGAAGACUGCAUAAAUACAGGGUAUCCUUUGCACAACACAGUCUUACAAAUUUCACAUGCUUACUGCUCAAGAGUAUCUUUUGCACGGGACAAUCUUCUAGCUUCGACAUGCUUGCUGCCCAAGGUCAGUAAUGAAUUCUUAAAGUUGCUCCUUGUUCAGUUCUUCAAACAUAAACUGCUUUCCUCUUUGUCUAUAUUCGAUAUUUCUAAUUCGGCACCACAAUAGAUAAAAAUCUUCUUAGUCUAAGUAAGUAAUCGAGUAAAAUGGUUGUAGACACUAGUUCAAACAAACAAAAUACAUCAGAAAACCCAAUUAUAGUAGAAACAUACAAAUCACAUGACCAACCACUUAUGAUGUCAAUUGAUGAGGCUCUAGACAAGGUAAAUUGUUUACGAAUUGACUCAUUCAACUACAUAGUUGGUGAUUGCUCAUUUGAUACAGUCCAUGGUUUGCUCCAUUGUAAAUAUACACCUAAUGAACUACGUAAUGGUCUUAUAGAUCAUUUCUUACAUUGUCUUCACAAUGGUUGUC